CCUCAUAAGGCUGCACUCUGUCAGGUGGGGAUGUUGGGGGGCAUCAAGCAGCCCGCUGUGCUUGCACCUUCCGCCCCUGCCCCUCCUCUCCAGACCCCUGCCCCUCUUCUCACCAAGCGAACACCAGAGCCGGCGAAGUGAGCCAGGCCCUCACAGAAGGCUCCAGACCCGUGUGCCCGCGUCCACCCACAGCCAACAGGUGGAGAUGACCCCAUGGCCCUUUCACAUGCGGGGGGAACAGUGUGCGCCACACAUUCCUCGGAAUAUCAUUCAGCCUUAAAAAGGAAGGGAACUUGAUACAUGUUGCAAUGUGGGAGAGCCAGCCCCUGACACGCUGAGUGAGAGAAGCCACUGACCGCAAGUGUGUGACCCCACUUAUACGGGGUCCCCAGAGUCCCUAGAGUAGACAAGCCCCGCGAGACACAAAGGACAACACAGGGCCCCGGGGGUGGGGGGCAGGCGGUGGGCGCCGGAGUUAGUGUUCAGUGAGGACAGAGUUUCUGUUUGACUUGGUGAGAACAAUUUUGGAAAUAGUGCCCAAGACUGUGAAUGUGCUCAACGUGGCUGAACGGUACACCUAACAAUGGCUAAAUGGUAAACUUUAAAAAAGAUUUUAUUUUUAAGUCAUGUCUAUACCCAACAUGGGGCUGGGACUUACAGCCCAGGAUCAAGGGUCGCUCGCUCCAGUCGCUGAGCCAGCCAGGCGCCCUGACGCAGGGCCCGGCCCCCAUAUUCUGAUUCCGGAGGCAGAGGCCAGACGCGCGUGCCCCGCGGCGGAAAUGCGGCCCCAGUCCUGCCCGGGGCCUGACCUUCAGAAUCCGGCGGCCGUGCCCGGAGGACACAGCUCUGCGGUGUGUCCAGGUGUGCAGGGCUCGCAGCUGACAAGCCAGACCCCCGUUCUGCUGGGAUGUGCAGGCCUGCGGGCCUGGUUUUGUCAUCCCCAGGCCUCCCGGCCCGGGGCGAGGUACAGACUACAUCUCACGCGCCCCCAGGGGAACCAAAGGCUUUCAGGUCAAAGCUCCCGUCCCUCGAUCGAACAGGCAACAACCCAGCCCCUGUUAGCUGUUUGGGGCUUGGAUCUCCCGGAUUCUGCUCCUCCCAAGUGGCCUUCGGGUCUGUCUGAAAUUGCCAGGCCAACCUUAAAUAUCCCAUGUCCCUCCCCAACCCUCAAGCACAAGUCCUGAUUCCCCAGUCCCUAAAGUCUGUUACUUUCGUUCCCUCUGGUUACAACUUUCAACCAUCUUUAUUUAUUCUGUCUUCUAGAAACAGCGUCUCGGAUCCGUGCUCACUGCCCUUGCUAAGUGCCUCCUGCUCCCUAACCCCUUUCUUUGCCAGCUAGAGUCUGACAGACGGGAUGAGCUCAGCGGCCACAGUUCAGCCCCUGCGGCCACUCUCAGAGUCCAAAUCCCAGCUCCGCCUCUGGGAGAUCUUUAGCCCCUGAUGCAGUGUAGCAGGUAGGGUUCCACAGAGAACCCAGGGUUCUCUCCAAUCAGAUAAAUUGAUCAACGUCUCAGAGCAGCGUUGUAUCCAUAGGUGUGCACAGGGCGCUGCUGAACCACAAGGCACAGCGCAUUACCCCAGAUCUAGAAACAGUGGGCUUAGUGCCACCUCCAGGGGACGGGGAGACAAGGGCCCCCAGGGUCUGGAGAGGAGCCCCUGGUGCCAGCUGUGGCCUACAGCAGCCUGGCAGGGAGAAGGGCAGGAAAACGCCCAGCCUUCCUCUCCUCUGUCUCCUCUCCCUUUUGGUGGCCGAGCCCAGCCAAGGCCAAGGCCUUCAGCCUCCGGGCCCCGACAGAGUGGGCAAGGGUUGAGGAAGGAUCUGGACCCUGCCCACCCAUGAGCUUCAGCUCCCCCUCCGUCAAUCGGGCUGUGGAGCCUACCUGUCUUCUAGGCUGUCAUGGUGAUAAAGGAGAAGACGCACGUGAGGUGUUGACCACUGGUCCAGGGUGGCUCAGUGGGCUGAGUGUUCGACUUUGACUCAGGUCAUGAUCCCACAGUUCAUAAGUUCGAGCCCCG